UACGUAGGGUGCAAGCGUUGUCCGGAAUUAUUGGGCGUAAAGAGCUCGUAGGCGGUCUGUCGCGUCUGCUGUGAAAACCUGGGGCUUAACCCCGGGCCUGCAGUGGGUACGGGCAGACUAGAGUGUGGUAGGGGAGACUGGAAUUCCUGGUGUAGCGGUGAAAUGCGUAGAUAUCAGGAGGAACACCUGUGGUGUAGACAGCUUACUGGACCACUUCUGACGCUGAGACACGAAAGCGUGGGUAGCAAACAGG
rnacentral:rRNA from 1 species